rnacentral:lncRNA from 1 species
GAAGAAGGAGCGCCACACCACCGCCGCCGCCACCGCCACCACCACUGCUACCACCAUAGUGACCGAGAAGGAGAAGCACCGCCACCCGGAAGAUGAGUUGAAGAAGCGGAAGCCAGAAGAAGUGGUGGGGAUAUACUUUCGCGUCGAGGGACUUUGCUCGAGGAGGACUGGUUUCUACUCAUCGUCGCGGGCUUGCCGUUGCUCAUGGCCUCAUCUCUGCUCCCUCGCCCUUGCCUCUAGUCUCCACCCUCCAUCGUCUUUCGGACACGCGUGUUGAAAUGUGUCGACAAAAGUUU